rnacentral:RNase_P_RNA from 2 species
CGCACAGACCGCCUUAUCGCCGUUUUGAGUAAUCAAGAAGGAGGAAAGUCCGGACACCACAGAGAAGCAUAGCGGGUAACACCCGUCGUCCGCCGCGGCGGAUAGGACAAGUGCAACAGAAAGUAUGUACAGGUAAUGCUGUAGUGAAACCAGGUAAACUCUAUGCGGUGAAAUACCAAGUAUAUCAGCAUUUAAGGGUUUCUCGUCCGUUGCUGAAGGGUAGGUAGCUCGAUCUCGUUAGUAAUAACGAGGCUAGAUAAAUGAUAAGGCUCCGUCUCGUUUUUUGGAACGAGAUCGGAGACAGAAUCCGGCUUAUAGGUCUGUUUUUUUU